AACGAACGCUGGCGGCAUGCCUAACACAUGCAAGCCGAACGAGAUCUUCGGGUCUAGUGGCGCACGGGUGCGUAACGCGUGGGAAUCUGCCCUUUGGUUCGGAAUAACAGUUGGAAACGACUGCUAAUACCGGAUGAUGACGAAAGUCCAAAGAUUUAUCGCCAGAGGAUGAGCCCGCGUAGGAUUAGCUAGUUGGUGUGGUAAAGGCGCACCAAGGCGACGAUCCUUAGCUGGUCUGAGAGGAUGAUCAGCCACACUGGGACUGAGACACGGCCCAGACUCCUACGGGAGGCAGCAGUGGGGAAUAUUGGACAAUGGGCGAAAGCCUGAUCCAGCAAUGCCGCGUGAGUGAUGAAGGCCUUAGGGUUGUAAAGCUCUUUUACCCGGGAUGAUAAUGACAGUACCGGGAGAAUAAGCUCCGGCUAACUCCGUGCCAGCCGCCGCGGUAAGAC
rnacentral:rRNA from 1 species